rnacentral:rRNA from 1 species
AUUGAACGCUGGCGGCAGGCCUAACACAUGCAAGUCGAACGGUAACAGGAAGAAGCUUGCUUCUUUGCUGACGAGUGGCGGACGGGUGAGUAAUGUCUGGGAAACUGCCUGAUGGAGGGGGAUAACUACUGGAAACGGUAGCUAAUACCGCAUAACGUCGCAAGACCAAAGAGGGGGACCUUCGGGCCUCUUGCCAUCGGAUGUGCCCAGAUGGGAUUAGCUUGUUGGUGGGGUAACGGCUCACCAAGGCGACGAUCCCUAGCUGGUCUGAGAGGAUGACCAGCCACACUGGAACUGAGACACGGUCCAGACUCCUACGGGAGGCAGCAGUGGGGAAUAUUGCACAAUGGGCGCAAGCCUGAUGCAGCCAUGCCGCGUGUAUGAAGAAGGCCUUCGGGUUGUAAAGUACUUUCAGCGGGGAGGAAGGGAGUAAAGUUAAUACCUUUGCUCAUUGACGUUACCCGCAGAAGAAGCACCGGCUAACUCCGUGCCAGCAGCCGCGGUAAUACGGAGGGUGCAAGCGUUAAUCGGAAUUACUGGGCGUAAAGCGCACGCAGGCGGUUUGUUAAGUCAGAUGUGAAAUCCCCGGGCUCAACCUGGGAACUGCAUCUGAUACUGGCAAGCUUGAGUCUCGUAGAGGGGGGUAGAAUUCCAGGUGUAGCGGUGAAAUGCGUAGAGAUCUGGAGGAAUACCGGUGGCGAAGGCGGCCCCCUGGACGAAGACUGACGCUCAGGUGCGAAAGCGUGGGGAGCANACAGG